AGAGAGGGAAGAACUGGAAAUUAUGAGACCUGAAAGCCAGUGAAUUUAUAUAGACCAUAUUUUGAAGUUCACAGCACUUUUAUAUCGAUUCUUGAUGCAGCUUCAGUACAUAAAUGGGGACACAUGGAGAAAAUUUACGAAAAUAACUGAGUAUCUAUAUGAAAGUUCUGCACAGGCCCUUUUACUGGUAGAAUCAAGAAGAUACAGCCUGUUUCUGAGUUUCCAUCCUUGUCUCUAUUCUGCUUUAUUCUCCAAGAGCAGGUGGGAUAAUUGAAACCAGCCACAUGAAGUAGAAUGUGCAAGAGCAAGAAGAAUAAAAUCAAAGUGAACAUAGUUUUCCUUCCCUGAGCCUGGGCAGAAUGGUUUGUGAAGUGGCACACAGAUUAGCAAAUCAGAUACCCAUAUAUCCCCAUGUACUUUUAUCACUGUGGCCAAGGGAGAUGCUACAUCUGCAUUUCUGUUUCCUUUUUUAGAGCUGUUUCCUCACCCCUGGAGCAAUCUUUGAUACUAUCUCCUGGGGAUGUUCAUCUGAUGUCCACUGUUCAUGUGAUAAACUUAGUUGAUAAAUAUAGAUGAGGGAGUUGUAGCUACAUGAAUGACAUCACACGUUUUUCCCAGGAAAUUUAAGUCCCUGGAAAGAUUCCACUUUGUGAAAUUUGGUCUCAGGAUUGCCUCAAAUUCUGUUUAUGUGAACACUUGAAAUAAUUAUCAGUGGAUUUUUGUAGUUGAUCCACUUUCAGGAAGGACUCAUAGAGUCUGAGGUCAUGGUUAUACACUGAACAUUGUGUCACAAAUCUCAUGUCAGGGAAAAGCAGCCUCAUGUUUAGAGCAUUGUGAUCCAUUGAGAAUAUAUUAUGGGCAACAUACAGCAUUGUCACGUACAGAAUAUCUAAACAAAAACUAUGCUUACGUUGUCUUGGGAAUUAAAACAUCAUGGCAAAUCCAGAAAUGUCCUGAAUAAUAGUAAAUGUUGCUUUUAAAAUACUUAAGAAUCUCCAUAGAAGUCUCUACUUAAACUUUUGUUCCUCAUUUCAAAUACUACAUAAGACCGAGCACUCUUGUUUCCCCAUUAUUUUUAAAGAAAAACUAAGCUUAAUAUUUGAGUUCUAAAACAUGAUUUCCCAUUUGACCCUCAGUUCUCACAGAUGAAUACCUCAUUUUGACAAGUUUCUUCUACUUUAUCACUUAUUUU
rnacentral:sRNA from 1 species